UAUAUUGUAUCAUUCUCAAAGUUCCAUUCGAACAGUUUCAGUGCUGCCCUCUCAGAACAUUUGGCAUUUAAAGACCUAGAGUAUUUUAUAUUAUUCUCAGACCAGCAAAGCUGUGUUUUCACAGACACUGAUUCCAGAGAGAUAAUCUCUAUGAGACUCAGUGUACACAGUCGAGUAUCUUAGUAACUUCUAUUUUAUAAAUAAAUUCACAUUAAAAGGGCUAGUUAAUACAAAAUCCAGCAACAUGUUAAACAUAUAAACACAGAAACUCCCAUUCCUCCUUUCACCAUCCUAUCUUCUAAAUGAACAAUGGGUCAGAGGGUCUUUAAAUCACCCCCUCAGAUGAACGACUCAAGGGAGACAGGGGAGCAACAGAACAUCAAACAUUGGAAUUAUCUGAGCUGCAGAUAGGGAUAUUUGUUUUAGGGAAG